UGCUCUCACUACUGUAAGUCGCUCUUGGUUAGAGCGUCUGCUAAAUGACUAAAA
rfam:Salmo salar isolate Sally breed double haploid chromosome ssa10, whole genome shotgun sequence.